rnacentral:lncRNA from 10 species
UGGCAACAAAAACUUUGGCCCCAGCAGUUUCUCACUCUCCAGCUACUCCACUGGCAACUUCCAACAAUUUGUCAAAGUGACCACUUGCAUGCUCUUGCCAGUCUAUGGCUCCAGUUGCUUCUGUUCCAGGUCCUGGGGGAGAUAAUUUAAAACCACCUACAUGAGAGGGCCUUCAGGAAUAAUUAAAUCAAGCACACACUGUGUGCACCUUUGGCUAUUUUAACCAAAUCUUGAGAGCAUCCUCUCUGACUGGGAAACACACUGCAGCCUACUCAUGAGAAUAUUAUUGUUUAAAUUUCAAUGCUACAGCAAUACUAUCUGGUAAGAUAAUUGUCUCCAGUGGGAUGAAAUAAGGCCAAGAAACCAAAGCUCUCCAGCCUCUUCUAAGUUUGCUUCUGAUGCCUGCCUCUCAUCCUCGCUUCUUCCAGCAGACCCCAAGCUGCCUCCAGCCUCCACUGUGCCAAUAUUCUUAGAGCAGUCUGGUUUGCUGGCAUGUUUUUGCCUCAGUAUUCCAUUUCUCACACCCUCUGAUGGCCAUUUUAUUUUAUUUUUAAGAGGGGAACUAAGAUAGGUGGCCUGAAGUACAGUAGUAACUUCCUUGAAUCACGCUGUCCUGGCUAAUGUCAAUGAGAUAACUAAGGCACAUCCACAGAUCACAUUCUGGGCCUUUAAAAGCACUGCAUACAAACUCAGUAUUUCGUUUAGACAGUUUUCUUAUCUUCUUCAACUGGACCUCUUUGCUGACUCAUGUCAGCUUUGAGCUCAUAUUAGUCUGUGAACUUUACCUGGCUGAAAUUCAGUUUGGCCUGACUUUGCCAUUCUUGAUUCCACUUUUGAUUCAGACUAAAAUAUAAGGUAAGGCUAUGUUCAAUACAAGAACCUUACAAUCUGAUGAACAUGGACUUACUCAAGGAAGAGAUUUAUCUGCCUCAUGUGAGAAGAAGUCUGGGUUGAAGUAGAUUAGGGCUGGAACAGUAGUUCAAGGAUGCUAUCUGGGAACUGAGCAUUUUUUCUUCCUGCUCUACUGCCCUGAGGAUGACUGAUGUACCUCCAGCAUCAAGCUCAAAUUCUAGUCAAGAAGAAAGAAGCAGCAGAAGAAGCCCAGCCAACUUGGGAUUGUUUCAUUCAUCAGAUCUACCAUUGUCUCUGCUAGCUGCAAAAAAGUCUGGGAAGGAAGAAGCAAAGAAGUCUAAGUUCUUUGGAGUAAGAUGCUCUCAAAUGCCUAGGAACACUGAUCUCCUAACUUGUCUUCCUGCUUUGAGUGUCCCUCUGAGGUUAAAGUUCCUGCCUCAGUCUCCAACAAUGACUAUAAGCCUCUCUGGGCAAGAUCCACGUCUUACUCAUUUUUGUGUCUGCAGUUUAGUUCCUGGUUCAUUGUAGGUUCUCAAUAAACGUUUGUUAGAAUGAGUUGAUCUCUUGGAUCCAGUGCCCCAGAAAGAUAUGUAAGUACUAUUUUUAUCCUUUCCCAUUGUGUGUCCACCUUCUCUCCAAUCCUAGAUCACCAAAAGUGAAGCAGAAGUGAUGAGAGUAGCAAUUUGUAGUAUCAAAACGACUUCUUAUAGUGCACAGAAAGCCCAGCACUGUCUCGUAUGGGAGACUCGUGGUUCUGCCACUGUCUUGCUGGGUGACCUGAGAUAACUUCUUUUCUCUCUGGGUCUGAUUCCUCACAGGUCAUUUCCACUGCUGCCCACUGAGGAGUGCCACUGGAGAUGAUCUCACAACAAAGAGAGGGGGAGAGGUCCCUGGCCCUCCCCUUUCCUCUGUGCUCUCAGCAGCUGACCUUGUCUUUUCCUUUACUGAGAGUAGAGGCACCUCUUACAAAUACUCUGGCCUCUGCCUGGACUGACUGGGCUAAAUUGUCUCCGAAGAUGGCCACCAACCAUUCCUCCCACCUGUCUGCAUGCAGGCUGCUCCUCCCGUCAGAAGAUGGAGACUGCUUCCUUGCCCUUCAAUCCAAGCUGGCUCAUGACUUGCUUCAAUGAAUAGGAAAUGGCAGAAGUGAUGCUCUGAGGCUUCUGGGCCUAGACUUUAAGAGGUGUUGCCCCUUUCCUUUUUCCCUCUUGGGAUCCAGCCUACCACAUAGAGAAGUUUGGGUUGACAACUAAAUGUGAGAGAGAGACAGACAGAGAGAAGAGGGAGAGCUGAUUCAGCUAGACCUUAGUCAUUCCAGCCAUCCUAGCUGAAGCACUAGCAUGUGAAAGAAGCCACCUUCUAACCUAUCAAUCAGAGCCCCCAAUUUUACUGACCUCAGUCAACACCAUGUGGAACAGAACUACCCCAGGGAGCCCAACCAACCCAUACAAUCAUGAGAAAUUAAAAACUGAUGUUGUAGCCUCCUGAGUUUUAAGGUAGUUUGUUACACAAAAAUACUGGAAUUUUGACCCACCUUCACCUCCAAUGCCAACCUAGUAAACCUGGAUAUAUCUUUCAAAAUUUGGCUCAAGUGUCAACUCUUUCAUGAACCCUCUGUAUCCUUUUCUUGCUCAUUCAAGCCCUAUUUUCUCUUCUCCUCCCCAAAAUUCCAUAGUACUUUGUAUUACAAACUAUGUGCUUACAACCCCCAAAGUCUCUGGGCAUCCAGAAGGCAGAGAUUUGGCUUAAUUCAUUUUUGCCUCUGCCUAGCCUAACACCCGGCACAUUUAGAUAUUUAGUUAUUGUUUGCUGAAUGAAUGGAUGCAUGAAGAAGAAAAUUUAACAGAUGAUAUCUACAGGCACAUCUGGCUCCAAAAUUGAAUCAUGUCAUCUAGCAAUGCUCAGUAAAGUUAACAUAAGCAAUUUC